UACGGGGGGAGCAAGCGUUGUUCGGAUUUACUGGGCGUAAAGGGCGCGUAGGCGGCCACCGCAAGUCAGUUGUGAAAUCUCCGGGCUUAACCCGGAAAGGUCAAUCGAUACUGCGGGGCUAGAGUGCAGAAGGGGCAACUGGAAUUCUCGGUGUAGCGGUGAAAUGCGUAGAUAUCGAGAGGAACACCUGCGGCGAAGGCGGGUUGCUGGGCUGACACUGACGCUGACAGCGCGAAAGCUAGGGGAGCGAACGGG
rnacentral:rRNA from 1 species